rnacentral:tRNA from 1 species
GGAGGCGUCGCCUAGUCCGGUCUAUGGCGCCCGCCUGCUAAGCGGGUUGAGGAGUGAUCCUCCUCUCGCGGGUUCAAAUCCCGCCGCCUCCGCCA